CUUUAUUGAGAGAAAGUAUGGCGGCCAUCUUAGAGGUCAUGACUCAAUACCUGUGGAUCGGCAUCUGAGGUAUCGGCAAAAAAAUCAAACCCUAGUGAAUACAGAAUUCGAAUUUAGUUUUUUACUAUUCAUUGGCCAAGAAAUGCAGACUUGAACCUGGAAGGACAUUUGGAUGGUGUGUUGUUGGUUUAGGUUGCUAAAGGACAGCAUACAAGUUUUCCAAGUAGCAGUAACCAAAGAUCAUAAAACCAUGGCUAGAAAUAUAA